UAGGGAAUCUUCGGCAAUGGGGGGAACCCUGACCGAGCAACGCCGCGUGAGUGAAGAAGGUUUUCGGAUCGUAAAGCUCUGUUGUUAAGGAAGAACGAGUGUGAGAAUGGAAAGUUCAUACUGUGACGGUACUUAACCAGAAAGGGACGGCUAACUACGUGCCAGCAGCCGCGGUAAUACGUAGGUCCCGAGCGUUGUCCGGAUUGAUUGGGCGUAAAGCGAGCGCAGGCGGUUAGAUAAGUCUGAAGUUAAAGGCAGUGGCUCAACCAUUGUAGGCUUUGGAAACUGUUUAACUUGAGUGCAGAAGGGGAGAGUGGAAUUCCAUGUGUAGCGGUGAAAUGCGUAGAUAUAUGGGGGAACACCGGUGGCGAAAGCGGCUCUCUGGUCUGUAACUGACGCUGAGGCUCGAAAGCGUGGGGAGCGAACAGG
rnacentral:rRNA from 1 species